rnacentral:rRNA from 1 species
CCUACGGGCUGCAGCAGUGAGGAAUAUUGGUCAAUGGGCGAGAGCCUGAACCAGCCAAGUAGCGUGAAGGAUGACUGCCCUACGGGUUGUAAACUUCUUUUGUCCGGGAGCAAUUUAGUCCACGUGUGGGCUUAGCGAGAGUACCUGAAGAAAAAGCAUCGGCUAACUCCUUGCAAGCAGCCGCGGUAAUACGGAGGAUGCGAGCGUUAUCCGGAUUUAUUGGGUUUAAAGGGUGCGUAGGCGGAAUAUCAAGUCAUCGGUAAAAAUUCGGGGCUCAACCCCGUCGUGCCGUUGAAACUGAUGUUCUUGAGUGGGCGAGAAGUAUGCGGAAUGCGUGGUGUAGCGGUGAAAUGCAUAGAUAUCACGCAGAACCCCGAUUGCGAAGGCAGCAUACCGGCGCCCAACUGACGCUGAAGCACGAAAGCGUGGGUAUCGAACAGGAUUAGAUACCCUUGUAGUC